rnacentral:SRP_RNA from 7 species
GAAAGACCUUAUGGCGAGGAUGGAGAUGUGAACCGGGUCAGAUCGGGAACGAAGCAGCCCUAAGCAUUUUCCAUCUUGUGCUGUAAGUUUUUUAUUU